UUUGUCUUCCUCAGCAGUUUUAUCGAUGCAGAGAGGCGGACGAAGAUAGGGUUCCGCCGCUCCCCGGUCGCCGCUGGCACCUCAGCUCAUCCCGACGCCUUGAGCUCGUCGCGUCCCUGGUUCUUAGUAUUCACCCCCACUCAUCCGGAUGCGCGUCGACCAAUCCCGACCAACUCUGUUGUGGCCACCCCAACCCUUCCCCUCGGCCGCGCCGCCACGGUUUCCAGCCAUAAUGGAUCUGCUGCAGCCACGACGGCACCAUCUACCGGUCGCACUGCCACGAAUCCCCGGCCAUAAUCGAUCUGCUCUUGCCUCUGUUGGACCUGCACGCCACUCUGCUAUCCGACCCGUGCCUCCCCGUUGUGGUCUCCCUCAGUCCCUACGUGGCUGACCCAAGAAGCAAAAGCAGCGCAAGAACAUGGGGAAGAAGGGCAUGUACGGAGGAGGACGAUCUCGCCGCGCAGAAUCGCUGCAAGUAUAGGUCAUGCUCUAAUGCAGCCGCCUCUCGCUCACUGCAGCAUCCUACAUGUCUCUUAUUGUUAUUCAGUGGGACUGCUACUCUAUGAAAUUCUGAUUUUAUGCUUACAUGCCGUUGAAAUUAUGAGUUGUUUUUUACCAAUCUUCGUAUGAUAUUGGUUACAACAAUAUUAAGCUAUUAUUAAUCUGUCUGCCACUCCAUUCAAUCUUUUAUGCAAAAAUCUCAAUGGAUAUGAAUUGCAAAUAAUAUCAUACAAUUUGUCACAUAUGAAGGCUAUAAGGGUUCAUCGUCUACUUGGUUCCGUUCUUUGUUUCAGCGGAUCUCUGAGGCAGAGCAAUGUGGACAACUAGCAGAUGAGAAAGCCGGCUAGCAGAUUGCUUGCAUCUGUUUAUGAACUUUUUCUCCAAGGGCGAGCAAAGGGCAAGAGGAAAAAAAGGGAGACCAUGACUGGCAACGACCUGCUGUGGGCGAUUGCGACACCGAGGUUUGAUGAUUACGAAAUACAGGAGGGAAAAAGGAUCUCUCAACUGGGGAAAUAGGCCCACACUGGUCUAGAUUAAAGGGGAGAACAAGGGCGAAAGGGAACAAUUGGCCAGGAAGUUAUUUGUAAAAAAAUGUUAUUGAGAUAAUGAACGAUGCAUCUUCUAUUAUUCUUCCUAUAAAUGCUCAUGGUGAACCUACCCCUGGCUUUGGCAUUUGUUAGGAAUCGUGACAUUUGAAACUGCGGUAUUGUUUGUUGGAAAAAUUAGAGUGCUUUGGUCUCCAAAGAAAAUGCAUAUUGUUAGUCUGUAAUGGAAACAAAUUCCCACCAGCAAGAUGUAUGCAUGAUUGAGUAAAUAUUAUUUAUAAAUUCGUCUUGACAUGGCUGUUUCUUGA